rnacentral:rRNA from 1 species
UACGGAGGGUGCAAGCGUUAUCCGGAUUCACUGGGUUUAAAGGGUGCGUAGGUGGGGUGGUAAGUCAGUGGUGAAAUCUCCGAGCUUAACUUGGAAACUGCCAUUGAUACUAUCAUUCUUGAAUAUUGUGGAGGUCAGCGGAAUAUGUCAUGUAGCGGUGAAAUGCUUAGAUAUGACAUAGAACACCAAUUGCGAAGGCAGCUGGCUACACGAAUAUUGACACUGAUGCACGAAAGCGUGGGGAUCAAACAGG